UUCUACAGGAGAGUCUAAUGCUGACUUCUCUCUCGAGUAGGCCUAAACAGAACUUUAGAGAGGACUCUCCUCUUUUAUUUGUUUGUCUUUCCUUGGAACAGACAUGGAGACCAAGAGGGUCCCUUCUCUUCGGCCUAGAAUAUACCCUUUGGUGUGUGAUGAAAUUUCAUAUGAGACACCAGCAUCUGGCACACGCAUGGAGGAAGGAGGCCCAGGACCCAAGAGGAGCAGAGGGGAGGCUGUCUGGACUCGAUGAGGUCUUCAGCAACGACUUCUUGGAGGAGCUGACAUCUAAGGGGACAAGAGGCCAGGGUCCGGAUCCUGCAGGAAUCCAGCUGUGCUUCUCUCGGGCUGCAGGCCGUCUCUCGCCCGUGUCCCACGUGCACUGCCCGUUUCUUGACUUUGGCUUCUGUGCGCCGCCUCUCACCUGGACCACACGUCUGGCCCCUGGUCUUUCUUGUCGCUGUUGCGCAUCUGCUUUGCUUGCAGGGCCCUGUUCCAGCAUCACCCCCUUGGAGGUGGUCAUCCUCAAGCAAAGAUGUUUAACUUGCUUUUGUGUAACACCCUCAGUUUUAUGUAACUCUAUUGCUAAAUUUUUUAUAUACUAUUGCAAACAUUUGUCUAUGCCCUCAAUGUGGAGGAGGUGGGGGGCUGGGGGCAGAGGUUUUGUUCUCCAGACAACAUUUGUCAACGUCUGGAGACGUCCUUGGUUGUCACCACCUGGGGUCCAGGGGUA